rnacentral:rRNA from 1 species
CCUACGGUGGGCAGCAGUGAGGAAUAUUGGUCAAUGGGCGCUAGCCUGAACCAGCCAAGUAGCGUGAAGGAUGACUGCCCUAUGGGUUGUAAACUUCUUUUAUAUGGGAAUAAAGUGCAGUAUGUAUACUGCAUUGCAUGUACCUUAUGAAUAAGGCUCGGCUAACUCCGUGCCAGCAGCCGCGGUAAUACGGAGGUGGCAAGCGUUGUCCGGAUUUACGGGGUGUAAGGGGCGUGUAGCCGGGUUGACAAGUCAGAUGUGAAAUCCUGCGGCUUAACCGCAGAACUGCAUUUGAAACUGUUGAUCUUGAGUACUGGAGAGGCAGACGGAAUUCCUAGUGUAGCGGUGAAAUGCGUAGAUAUUAGGAGGAACACCAGUGGCGAAGGCGGUCUGCUGGACAGCAACUGACGGUGAGGCGCGAAAGCGUGGGGAGCAAACAGGAUUAGAUACCCGAGUAGUC